UCCAUCUGAGGUCUACACGGUCCCAACAGGUGGAGCCUCAGUUUCCUGGCGGCCUUGGUCCUUGACCUCCAAGCUCCCUCGCACCUGAGGAUCUCCCGGGGCUUCCGAGCCGGGCGGAGGCGUAUGUUAGCCACAGGCUCCCGGGCAGAAAAAAGGGGUUCUGGACUCCUCCCCGCUUCCCUCCCCUCCCUCCUUCUCUCCUUCCCUCGUUUCCCAGGCCGGGACUGCUCCUGCCCCUGCUCCUGCCCCUGCUUCUACCCCUACUUCUACCCCUGCCCCUGCUCCUGCUCCUGCUCUUGCUCCCCACUUCCUGGCCUCCACCAAAUCGGAGGCAGGCUGCGAUCACCCGUUCGAGGCCCCUCCUCGGCCCCCCCCAAAGCCGGGCAGAGGGAGGGGAGGGGGCGGGGGCGCUGAGCCGGCUGCUGACGUAGGGAUUUAAAGGGCCUGGCACCGGGAGCUGGGAGUUGGGGAGCCCCGCGAAGAGCGCAGGAAGGCCUGGAGCCGGGGGAGUGGCGGAGCGGGAUCCGAAGCGGGAAGCCCACCCCUCAGCCCCGGUCUUUCUUUACCUGGAAACUGAGUCUCAGAACAAGAAAUUCAACAUAAUAGGAAAUACAAGAAACUCAUUUUGAUCCCAGGCCUGACGCCUAAGUACCCUUCCCCUCCUGCAAAUCCAGUUUCCUCUUUUGGGAAGCAGACUGGAAAACCUGGAAAGAUGGGAGUAUGGGAAGAGACAGUCAGACAAACAGAAGAAGAGACAGAUGGUCCAGUGGCUGCUAAGCAAGGCAGAUGGCCCUAGCAGGAAGAGGAAAGAAGCAGACAGACUGAUAGAUCGCCAGCCUCUCUAGGGGAGGGAAGAAAGCUGGAAUGGGAAAGAAGCGCAGAUCACAGGACUGAGAGCUGGAAGAGAAUCUGCUUCAAGUCUUCUUUUCACAUUCUAAGAAAAGGGUGACCCCGACAGGGAAACGAAUUGCAAGGAGAUCAAGACCAUAAGUUUGGAACUAGAAGAGAUCCCAAAGGCCAUGUCAUCCAACCCUCUCAUUGUACAAGGAGCUGAGGCCGGGAGAAGUCAUAUACAUUUCCCAAAGUCACCCAGAUUCUAAAAUUUGGGCAGAGCUGUGAUUUGAACCUAGAUUUCUAGUGCACUAGGGGAAAACAGAGCAAAGAAGCAAACAGAAAAGGCCAGUUAGGAAUGUUGUCAAGGAUAGAAGAGACACUAUGGAUGUCAGAGGAGAUGUCAGGAAUUAACUUGAAAACAACCAAUUAAAAUCCAGUCGAAUUGGUCAAGCCAGUGCAGAUCACUAAAGAAACUGAAUAUUCCCAAUUUUUUAUUUUUUAUUUUUAAAUUUGCUGCUUUGCCUUCAGUGAUUUCAGAAUACAACAAACUAAUCGAUUUACCUUAGAGGACAAUUCUUCAUGUCGUAUCCCAGGCAAAACAACAAGAACCUGACCUUGAUUUUUAAAGAAUCCUUCAUAGUCUUAGCAUUGGCCAUUUUUUCUGGUAGCCAUGACCUUGUAGGUCCACCAUUACCCUUUGAGAGAUCCCAACUCCUAUCCUUGCCUUUGCCCGGGCUGUAUCUCAUGUACUUUUCUCAACCCUCCCCUUCAAGACUUCUAAGCUCUCUUUAUGGUUCAGCUCAAGCAUCACUUCUCUCUGGAGCUACCCAGAUGGCUUAGCAAGGUACUUGACACUUUGUUGCAAUUGUUCAGUUGUGAUCAAGUCUUCCUAAUCCCAUCUAGGGUUUUCUUGGCAAAAAUCACUAGAAUGGUUUGCCAUUUCCUCCUCCAGCUCAUUUGACAGAUGAGGAAACUGAUGCAAACUGGAUUAAGUGACUUAUUCAAGGUCACACAACUAAUAUCUGAGAUUAGAUUUGAACUCUUCCUUGGGCCUUCCUGACUCCAGACCCAAAGCUAGUCUAUCCCCUGGUACAACAAAUGCCUGAGACAAAAUAAAUGACUAAUAAAACUCA